UACUGUAGUUGGCAGGCUGAGGGGGUUGGGUGAGAGGCUGUGCUGUAGUGUAGCUGGCUGGAGUAACUGAUUCACACUAUAGGGCCAAACUGAACCGAACUGAACUGGGCUGGUUAUUCUUUCACCAUAGUAGCUGGAACCGUGCUGGAAAGGACAAUGUGGAAAUAAAAUAUCUGAGUCGGUACAGUACAGGUCAGCCCUAUAGUUCAGAUCAGGCAGAGGAAGAUAUAGGCUAGGAAGGUCUUCAUGGUUUCAGGAAAGAUAUAGGCUAGGAAGGUCUUCAUGGUUUCAGGAAAGAUAUAGGCUAGGAAGGUCUUCAUGGUUUCAGAGAAGAUAUAGGCUAGGAAGGUCUUCGUGGUUUCAGGGAAGAUAUAGGCUAGGAAGGUCUUCGUGGUUUCAGGGAAGAUAUAGGCUAGGAAGGUCUUCGUGGUUUCAGGGAAGAUAUAGGCUAGGAAGGUCUUCGUGGUUUCAGGGAAGAUAUAGGCUAGGAAGGUCUUCGUGGUUUCAGGGAAGAUAUAGGCUAGGAAGGUCUUCGUGGUUUCAGGGAAGAUAUAGGCUAGGAAGGUCUUCGUGGUUUCAGGGAAGAUAUAGGCUAGGAAGGUCUUCGUGGUUUCGAGGAAGAGGCUACAGUAGAUCUUUAUGAGCCCAGUGAAGAGGCACCUUGCCGGGCAC